rnacentral:lncRNA from 1 species
AAAGAGUGGGAAACAAUAUGUAGAGAAUGAGUAUGAAUUAAUCAGAUAACACAAACUGACUCAUAUAUCACAAAGCAUUGAUGAUUAAUAUCAUCGAAAUUAGUGCUAAGGCUAGCUACUCUGAAAACAGGAGAUUUUGAUUAUAUCAAGAAGAGGGGAGAUAACUGGGAGCACUAUUGGAAGAAGGGGUAGGUGUCAAUUGGGUGGUCGUGAGGAAAUUCUAGAGGCAUCCAAAUGUACCAGCACCUGGGAAGCAAAGAGAAUCAGGUACCAAGCCAAUGAAUGUCAACACAGGAAGGUAACCAAAGUGCCAUAUAAUACACAUCUUUGCCUUAAUGCUGGGAAAACCAGACCUUCCUAUCUGGAGUGUCAGCAAAGCUGAUGUCAUUGAGAAGCUACCCGGACUCCAGGGUAACUCACGUGCCUUUCUCACCAGCUAUAUUACUAUUCAUUGUAAAGACCUCGUUUCCCUGUGUGCCAGCAGUGUGCAGAAUAUAAAUGUUUGGUACCUAUCACACAACAGGAAAGCCUAAAACAAAGUCAUAAACACUUGGAAUGACCCACUGGAAAAAGACUGCUGCUCCUGUUGACCAAAAGAUUUCCUCUACAUGAUGAUAUUCCAGAGAAAAGAUGUCACUGUCCCGAUAAGGACCCGUUCGAGUGCUUCUGAUCACUGACAGCUAUCAAAGUAAAAGAAAAACUCAGCUAAUUGGUGUUUCCCAUGGGAACAGGAUCCUUAGGAGGACUGGACUGCACAUCCCACCAAAGACUUGAAAUUUUUUAAAUUGUUUAUACUGACCUCAACUGAAAGAAGGUAUUCUGGCUAAUUCACUAUUAUUCUAGAACUUUCAUGAAAGUGAAAUUGUAAAAAUUUGACUAAUGUAAUCCUUUCAACAGUAUUGCAAGCAUUCAGUUUACUUAAGUUUGUUUGGAAACUCCUAACCAUUGACAAUCUUGAGUGAACUAGGCCUGCAAGAUCAUAAACCAGCUAAGCCUCUAUGAUCAUAAAUCAAUUUGAACACAGAGGCAUUUCUUAGAAAACCUAAAUCAGAUAGCACACUGUGGGUCCUUACCCAAUAGAAAAUAGCCCAUAGCAUUUUGAAACCUGUUUUUCUCCACAUUUUUAUCACCAUUCUCAGCAUAAUCCCUUCCAGGGAACUAUAAAUUACACCAUAAAAAGACUGGUUGACAGCUUUGAGUAUUCAGUCUAUCAACAAAUGGUCGGUAGUGUCAAAAGGAAAAACAGGAAGUAUUUUCCUUGUUAUAAUAAAGGAUCAAUUUGUCGACCA